rnacentral:rRNA from 1 species
UGGGGGAAUAUUGCACAAUGGGCGAAAGUCUGAUGCGGCAACGCCGCGUGAGGGAAGACGGUUUUCGGAUUGUAAACCUCUGUUUUCGGUGACGAACAAAUGACGGUAACCGAGUAGGAAGCACCGGCUAACUCCGUGCCAGCAGCCGCGGUAAUACGGAGGGUGCAAGCGUUAUCCGGAUUUAUUGGGUUUAAAGGGUGCGUAGGCUGUAAGUCAAGUCAGCGGUGAAAAGUCGGGGCUAAACCUUGAGGGUGCCGUUGAAACUGAUUUACUAGAAUGUGGAUGAUGCCGGCGGAAUGUGUCAAGUAGCGGUGAAAUGCAUAGAUAUGACACAGAAGGCCGAUUGCGAAGGCAGCUGGCAAAGGCACGAUUGACGCUGAGGCACGAAAGUGCGGGGAU